AUAACAACAACAUACAGCUUAUUCACUCGCACUAUUGCAUUAGGAACAAAAUAACGUUAAAGUUCAAGUUAAUAAUUUCACCUGGCACAUGUAUAAUCAUGAAACAUACUGCGUAAUAUUGUCUACAUAUUGUAUGGAAUCUAUCAUGUAAAUGUUUCCUGACCAUUAACCUUUCCAUGUUGAAUAUCCUUCUGGCACACGGAUGGAUUUACAUCUAACUAGAC